GUGAUGGAGUACAUUUUGAACCAAGUCUGUGUAACUCUGAAACCAGAGCUUUUUGAUACCACCCAGGCUUGGGACUCUCUGUGACAAGUCUGGUUUAAACUGCUCUCUGCUUUAUUCCCACUUCUCUGAAGCUUCCUCAUCCUUCAUACGACUGACCCUGGAGCUGAAGGCCAGGUUUUGCAGUGGUCUGAGUCACUCAGCCCUAAACCAGGUGUGUUCCAAUUUCCUCUACUAUAUGUGCCUCAACCUCCUCUCAGCUCCAGAGAAGACAGGACCACCUUCCGAAGAAGAACUCUCUGCAGUUUCUGAGCUCCUGCAGCAUGGGCUGCCCCAGAUAAGCAGCAGGAGCCCUGAAAGCCUUGCCUUCCUGUCUGAUCACCAGUACAUGGAGGGAGCUGCUCGCCAGAGACAGUACUGCAUCCUGCUCCUCUUCUACUUGUCCUACAUCCAUGAGGACAGGUCAGUGCACAGAGGCCGGGCGCGGUGGCUCACUCCUGUAAUCCCAGCUCUUUGGGAGGCUGAGAUGGGCAGAUCACGAGGUCAAGAGAUCGAGACCAUCAUGGCUAACACAUACCAGGGCAAGCGCCCC
rnacentral:sRNA from 1 species